rnacentral:rRNA from 1 species
GACGAACGCUGGCGGCGUGCUUAACACAUGCCAGUCGAACGGAAAGGCCCUGCUUUUGUGGGGUGCUCGAGUGGCGAACGGGUGAGUAACACGUGAGUAACCUGCCCUUGACUUUGGGAUAACUUCAGGAAACUGGGGCUAAUACCGGAUAGGAGCUCCUGCUGCAUGGUGGGGGUUGGAAAGUUUCGGCGGUUGGGGAUGGACUCGCGGCUUAUCAGCUUGUUGGUGGGGUAGUGGCUUACCAAGGCUUUGACGGGUAGCCGGCCUGAGAGGGUGACCGGCCACAGUGGGACUGGGAUACGGCCCAGACUCCUACGGGAGGCAGCAGUGGGGAAUAUUGCACAAUGGGCGGAAGCCUGAUGCAGCAACGCCGCGUGCGGGAUGACGGCCUUCGGGUUGUAAACCGCUUUCGCCUGUGACGAAGCGUGAGUGACGGUAAUGGGUAAAGAAGCACCGGCUAACUACGUG